rnacentral:rRNA from 1 species
UACGUAGGGUGCAAGCGUUGCCCGGAUUUAUUGGGCGUAAAGGGCGCGUAGGCGGCUCGGCACGUCCGUUGUGAAAUCGCCCGGCUCAACUGGGCGGGGUCAGCGGAUACGGUCGAGCUUGAGCAAGCUAGGGGGCAAUGGAAUUCCCGGUGUAGUGGUGGAAUGCGUAGAUAUCGGGAGGAACACCAGUGGCGAAGGCGGCUUCCUGGCCUGUUCUUGACGCUGAGGCGCGAAAGCUAAGGGAGCAAACGGG